AAGGCAUGGUGUGGGCUUUUUCUAAGCAAUUUCUUAAAUUUUUCCCAAGCUUCAGAUAUUAAUUCUCCAUCUAAUUGCUUGAAUUAGGUAAUAUCAUUCAUAAGCUU